AACGAACGCUGGCGGCGUGCCUAACACAUGCAAGUCGAACGAGAAAGGUCGCAAGACUGAGUACAGUGGCGCACGGGUGAGUAAUACAUAGGAAUCUUCCCUUUAGUGAAGAAUACCCUGGAGAAUCCAGGCUAAUACUGCAUAAGCCCAGAAAUGGGGAAAGGUGGCCUCAAGCUACCGCUGAAGGAUGAGCCUGUGUCCUAUUAGUUAGUUGGCAGGGUAAUGGCCUACCAAGACAAAGAUGGGUAUCCGGCCUGAGAGGGUGUACGGACACACUGGAACUGAAACACGGUCCAGACUCCUACGGGAGGCAGCAGUGGGGAAUAUUGCACAAUGGGCGCAAGCCUGAUGCAGCGACGCCGCGUGGAGGAUGACGGUCUUCGGAUUGUAAACUCCUG
rnacentral:rRNA from 1 species